AGCAGCCGCGGUAAUUCCAGCUCCAAUAGCGUAUAUUAAAGUUGUUGCAGUUAAAAAGCUCGUAGUUGAAUUUCGGGACCAUCAUGUUGGUCGUGCCUCGGUACGUACUGGCAUUGUUGGUUUCUCCCUUCUGACGAACCAUGAUGUCAUUUAUUUGGUGUCGUGGGAAAUCAGGACUGUUACUUUGAAAAAUUGAGUGUUUAAAGCAGGCUCACGCUUGAAUACGUUAGCAUGGAAUAAUGAAAUAGGACGUUUGAUUCUAUUUUGUUGGUUUCUAGGAUCGACGUAAUGAUUAAUAGGGAUAGUUGGGGGCAUUAGUAUUCAAUUGUCAGAGGUGAAAUUCUUGGAUUUAUUGAAGACUAACUACUGCGAAAGCAUUUGCCAAGGAUGUUUUCAUUAAUCAAGAACGAAAGUUAGGGGAUCGAAGACGAUCAGAUACCGUCGUAGUCUUAACCAUAAACUAUGCCGACUAGGGAUCGGAUGAUGUUAAUUUUUUAAUGUACUCAUUCGGCGCCUUAAC
rnacentral:misc_RNA from 1 species